UUUGUUGUAGUCAUGUUGGUUAGGAUACUCAGCUCUCACUCUAGAGACCUGGGUUCAAAUCCCAGUAACGGAA
rfam:Ipomoea nil DNA, scaffold: scaffold1900, cultivar: Tokyo-kokei standard.